rnacentral:rRNA from 1 species
CCCGGGUCUUGUACACACCGCCCGUCACACCAUGGGAGCGGGAUGUACCAGAAGUAGGUAGGCUAACCGCAAGGGGGUCGCUUACCACGGUGCGUUUCGUGACUGGGGUG